UUUUCUUUCUCUUCGUUAACGGUCACUCUGGCUUCUGGCGUCUCACGGUCUCACAUCAUGCACGGUCUAGCAAAUGAAGAGAUGGCAUAGAACGAGACAACGUCGCAUGAUAUGUGGGCAAGGCACGCGGACGACGCUGCUUGAACAGUUGUGAUUCUCCUUGCUGUCUCCGCGCUACAAAUUCGUAUGCGUACGCCCAUUGUCCACCAGCAUCCCAAGGAACAGGACAUGACAUGCUCUCCGUAGCCAUGCUGGACUGCGUAAUACCACGCAUGCACCCUCAGCUGCAUUAGGUGGUGCUCCUAAAAUUUCUACUGCGCGACACAUUCUGGGAAGAAAUACACAAGACUCUACUCCCUCAUGCA